UCCUCGAUAGCUUAGUGGUAGAGCAAUCGACUAUUAAAUGACUAAUCGUACGUUCGAUUCCUACUGGGGAG
rnacentral:tRNA from 1 species